rnacentral:tRNA from 1 species
GGAAGACAAACGCGCCCGGUGGCGCGGCCGGGCUUCAAACCCGGUUGGGGACGGCAUCCGUUCCCGGGCAGGUUCGACUCCGGCUGUCUUCCGCCA